UACGGGGGGAGCAAGCGUUGUUCGGAUUUACUGGGCGUAAAGGGCGCGUAGGCGGCCAGCGCAAGUCAGUUGUGAAAUCUCCGGGCUUAACUCGGAAAGGUCAACUGAUACUGCGCGGCUAGAGUGCAGAAGGGGCAACUGGAAUUCUUGGUGUAGCGGUGAAAUGCGUAGAUAUCAAGAGGAACACCUGCGGCGAAGGCGGGUUGCUGGGCUGACACUGACGCUGAAGUGCGAAAGCCAGGGGAGCGAACGGG
rnacentral:rRNA from 1 species